rnacentral:rRNA from 1 species
CACCGCGGUUAUACGAGAGGCCCAAGUUAAUAGAUUACGGCGCAAAGCGUGGUUAGAAAGGAACCCCCCCCCCCCCCAAAAAAAAAUAAAGUCGAAUGCCUUUCAGGCCGUAAUACGCGUAUAAAGGUACGAAGCUCUCCUACGAAAGUGACUUUACCCCUUUGACUCCACGGAAGCUUAGGCA